ACACGACUACAUUAGAUACCCCUGUAGUCCUAGCCGUAAACGAUACUCGCUAGGUGUCGGCCACGGUGCGACCGUUGUCGGUGCCGUAGGGAAGCCGUUAAGUCUGCUACUUGGGAGUACGUCCGCAAGGAUGAAACUUAAAGGAAUUGGCGGGGGAGCACCGCAACGGGAGGAGCGUGCGGUUUAAUUGGAUUCAACACCGUAAAACUCACCAGGGAAGACUGUUACAUGAAAGCCGAGAUGAAGACUCUGCUAGAUUUUCAG
rnacentral:rRNA from 1 species